rnacentral:tmRNA from 1 species
GGGGGUGACUUGGUUUCGACUGGAGCAGUCGGAGCUAUGUGCAUGUCGCAGAUGAGCCACUGCGUUAUCAAGCUCAAAUAAAAUAGACGCAAACAAUACAGAUUAUCGCCCAGCUUACGCUGCUGCGUAAGUCAAAUAUGGUUUGGGCUGUCUAAAUAGCUGAGGCUACAUAAGCUAUUUAGGCAUCACAAAGAUGUAGCUAUAUCAAUAGGUUGCCUAGCCUAUUGAUGAAUUUUUUAGGCUAGCUAAGGGUAGCUUUGGGUGUUGUGCAAACCUUAGCGAAAUUCUAACAACACCAUCUAAGCAUGUAGAGUCAUAGUUCUAGCUGCUUCAGGACAGGGGUUCGAUUCCCCUCACCUCCACCA